GGUUUCAGAAUCACUCAGGCUUGCAGACAUCAAUCACCCAGCCCAAUCUUCUGAGCACGGUUGGCACGCUGCCCACAAAGAGGGCGGAGCCUGGUCCUGCUGCUUGUCCUCGACCAUCCCUAGUUUGGAGGUAUCCAUCAUCGUCUCACAGUGUGACUCGUCCAGGAUGGAACAGCUCUGUGUCUUUGUGCCUCUCUUCUCAGAUGUGACACAGAGCACAUAUACUUUUCCUGCUGGAUGACGGCCCUUCACUAUUUUGAAGUCGUCACUGUCUUUAAUGGACACGUGAUUUCCUAGCAAAUACUUCUCGGUUAGACGACUUACGGUGAUCAGCUUACAAGUCAGCAUUCAGGUAGACUGGAGCGUGGACAUUCUGACCGAAGCUGACAUUCUGAUCACCAGAGAAGCUCUUGGGUUUAUCAUCAGGCAGCACCACGCAAAGUCUUUUCCAAAGGAAAUGUAUUCUGUGGCUGAAGGACAUUUCCGCUCACUAAAUUAAGAUGAUGAUGACAAUAUUGUAUGGUUUCUAGAUAAGUUAUCAUUAGAGAACCACACUACUGAAGGAAAUGGAGGCAUCUUAGAUACUAGUGGUGGAUUUCCCACUCACAGUUUCCAUUUUGAAAAGCACAAGGAACUCACAAGCCCUCGCUGAGAAGAGGCACUGAGCUGGUCGGGGGUCAGCCUCUGAGAGAGUAUUGUUAUCACACUGCCUCAGAGAAGAGACCUGGAGAGAUGGAUGAACUCCCCCACAUGUCGUGGGAGGGUACCGUGCGAUCAGCUUCCUCUCAGCUAGGAAAAGGCACCACUCGUGCUGUUACUCAUGUGCCACAGCAUAAAUGGUGCUGCUAGUAGUGGAUAUGCCAUCCUACAUUACACACGAAUUAGCAUGCACAGAUCCAUCCAGGAAAUGUCCAGGAAACUAUUCUGAAUAACUUCACUACUUCAAUCGAACCCUAAAGACAUAAAAUUAAGGAUAUCCUGACAUAUCCAGAAAAAUUUGAAUAUCUUUUCUGAAGAGCAAGCGGCUGAAAAGCUGACAUAAUGCUUCGAACGCUGGGUGACAGGAGGACUUUGUCUCCGAACUUCACAGAGGAUGGUCCAGGAGGGUCUUUGUGGGAAAGUUUCAUGGAUUGAUCCAUAGAUUCAAACCAAUCACAAUGGGAAGCUGGAGAGCUUGUGAGGCUCAACGAACCAAAGUAAAAUCACCUGGAAGAGGGAGGAACCCGCCAAAAGCGGGGGAAGCUUCCACUCUCUGACCCGGGCAAACCUCGGAGGCAUGGACGUUUGGUCUGAACCCCUGGACAAGCUCCUUCUCACAGCGCAGGCUGCUGCGUGCCAUCAAAAGGUCCGCUCCUGAUCCACCUCUAGGUGUGCUCGGCGCCAGCGGACAAAACACACCAGGCGUGCAAAGUUCUCACCAGGGCGAUUAGCACGCAGGGGAGCUCCGUGAAAGGCACCCACUGACAUUCACUUCCCCCCUCACCAAACAGUUUUCCCAUUGAAUCCUGGUCAAGACACAGGCCACAAAUCGGGCGGCCAGUCCACCCUGUACAACGUAUCCAAGAGAAAGAGUCACCAAUGGAAAGAAAUCAGGGCCCUCAAUAAACCACAAUGAAUGCGUCUCCCCAGGGUGCUCCCGGGAAGCGGCCUCCACUCUCCCGAGGACCAGUCCAUCAUCAGCGAGGGAGGCCUGGGCACUGAGCUGAGUGGUUCCCAUUCUGCAGAUUCUUCGCUGGCUUCCAGGUCCCAACCUCCUUCUUUGAAUCCGUUUCUCCUCACUAUUCAAUAUGAAAAUCCCUUUCAAAUGCUUGUCCGAGUAAAACAUCCGCCACAUGAGACGAAGACACUGAUCUUCAGUCUUAUUUCCAUCAACUCCAAAAUGAAAAUACACACGAGGGAACAGCCUGUGUGUUCUUCACCUGA